rnacentral:rRNA from 1 species
GACGAACGCUGGCGGCGUGCCUAAUACAUGCAAGUCGAGCGGAGCGGCGGACGGGUGAGUAAUGCCUAGGAAUCUGCCUGGUAGUGGGGGAUAACGUCCGGCAACGGGCGCUAAUACAGCAUACUAUCAGCUGAGCCUAGGUGGGAUUAGCUAGUUGGUGGGGUAAAGGCGUACCAAGGCGACGAUCCGUAACUGGUCUGAGAGGAUGGUCAGUCAACCUGGAACUGAGACACUGUCCAGACUCCUACGGGAGGCAGCAGUGGGGAAUAUUGGACAAUGGGCGAAAGCCUGAUCCAGCCAUGCCGCGUGUGUGAAGAAGGUCUUCGGAUUGUAAAGCACUUUAAGUUGGGAGGCGUUACCAACAGAAUAAGCACCGGCUAACUUCGUGCCAGCAGCCGCGGUAAUAC